GGUUAAAAAGCUCGUAGUUGGAUCUCAACAGCCCUGGAACGGUUUACUUUGUGUAACACUGUUCUAUGAGUUGUGCUUUUGCCAGAGGUUUAGGGGUGCUCUUAAUCGAGUGUCUCUGGAUGCUGGCAGGUUUACUUUGAAAAAAUUAGAGUGUUCAAAGCAGGCUGUUAUGCCUGAAUAUUCGUGCAUGGAAUAAUAGAAUAGGAUGUCGAUCUUAUUUUGUUGGUUUUCGAGACUCGACAUAAUGAUUAAUAGGGACAGUCGGGGGCAUUUGUAUUCAAACGCUAGAGGUGAAAUUCUUGGACCGUUUGAAGACAAACUACUGCGAAAGCAUUUGCCAAGAAUGUUUUCAUUAAUCAAGAACGAAAGUUAGAGGUUCGAAGGCGAUUAGAUACCGCCCUAGUUCUAACCAUAAACGAUGCCAGCUAGCGAUCUGCCGACGUUUUUACUGUAGACUCGGCAGGAAGCUUCCGGGAAACCAAAGCAUUUGGGUUCCAGGGGAAGUAUGGUUGCAAAGCUGAAACUUAAAGGAAUUGACGGAAGGGCACCACCAGGAGUGGAGCCUGUGGCUUAAUUUGACUCAACACGGGAAAUCUCACCA
rnacentral:rRNA from 1 species